rfam:Culex pipiens quinquefasciatus supercont3.215 genomic scaffold, whole genome shotgun sequence.
GGUUCCGUGGCUUAAUGGUUACGGCUUCUGCCUCACAAGCUGAAGGUUCAGGGAUCAAAUCCCGGUCGGUACCU